UACCUGCAGCUCGAGUGGUAACCGCUAUUAUUGGGCCUAAAGCGUCCGUAGCCGGUUUGGUAAAUAUCUGGGUAAAUCGUGAGGCUUAACUUCACGAAUUUCGGAUAGACUGCCAGACUUGGGAUCGGGGGAGGUCAGAGGUACUCCAGGGGUAGCGGUGAAAUGUUGUAAUCCUUGGAGGACCACCGGUAGCGAAGGCGUCUGACUAGAACGAGUCCGACGGUGAGGGACGAAGCCCUGGGGCGCAAACCGGAUUAGAUACCCGGGUAGUCCAGGGUGUAACGAUGUGGGCUUUGUAUUGGAGGUCCCACGUGGGCGUCCAGUGCAGAAGAGAAGUUGUUAAGCCCACCGCUUGGGAAGUACGGUCGCAAGGCUAGAAACUUAAAGGAAUUGGCGAGGGAGCACAGCGAACGGGAGGAGCGUGCGGUUU
rnacentral:rRNA from 1 species